GCCCAUUCUCGCAUGGUGUGCGCAUCAAGUUCUCCAGUGGUAAUAGCUUCAUCAGCUACAAUUUGCACAUGAGUUUAUCUUGGGUAGAUUCGAGGCCUUGUUUAAUGCCCUUACGAGGGUCUUUGCCAGUUCUAUUGAGGACGUUACUAACAUGGGAUCGAAUUCUGGCAUCAGAGACACUUUGUUGGGUAUGGUUGGCCAAGGGCAUUCGGCUCUGAGUUUGGCACGUACUUCUUUAUCUAGGGGCUUCCGUAGCCACAUUUUAUAAAAAUUGUAUAUGUGGGCAGGUGGGGCCCAUUUGGCCGAACGAGGGUGUUUAAUCCAAAAGGAUGUCUGAUUCGUAUUCUUUGGUUCUAGGCCUGAAUUUGCUUUAUUUUCAACGUAAGUUCAAUGUAACAAAAUCCGAGGUAAUAGUUAUCAACCAUAGAGGUAGAACCCUCUAAACGGUCUGAGGUGGCUCGAAC